GAAGGUGGAGCUCAGUGGUAGAGCUCAUGCUUAGCACGCACGAGGUCCUGGGCUCAAUGCCCACACCCUCC
rnacentral:tRNA from 1 species